GCGGAUGUGGCGAAAUUGGCAGACGCACUAGACUUAGGAUCUAGCGGGAAACCGUGCAGGUUCAACUCCUGUCAUCCGCACCA
rnacentral:tRNA from 1 species